rnacentral:rRNA from 1 species
UUGGGCAAUGGGCGAAAGCCUGACCCAGCAACGCCGCGUGAGGGAUGAAGUAUUUCGGUAUGUAAACCUCGAAAGAAUGGGAAGAAUAAAUGACGGUACCAUUUAUAAGCUCCGGCUAACUACGUGCCAGCAGCCGCGGUAAUACGUAGGGAGCAAGCGUUGUUCGGAUUUACUGGGUGUAAAGGGCGCGCAGGCGGGAUAAAAAGUCAGUGGGGAAAUCCUACAGCUUAACUGUAGAACUGCCUUUGAUACUUUUAUUCUUGAGUUCGGGAGAGAGGUACGGAAUUCCCGGUGUAGUGGUGAAAUACGUAGAUAUCUGGAAGAACACCAGUUGCGAAGGCGGUCUCUUGGUCCUACACUGACGCUGAGGCGCGAAAG